CAACUAUCGCUUGCCAGGUCUCAGUGUCUCACUGCUGCUUUGUCUGGUCCAUUGACUUUCUCUCCACGUUUCACCAUCUUCCAAGCUCUCCUUUUGCUCCUCAUUUGUCUUCCUCCUUGAUAAUGGCUCCAAAGUGAUCCAAAUACCUAGGAGGUUAAAAACUAUCCAUACUAAAAUCAGAUGUAAAAGACUUUCUGAUACAAUGAUCAAAUCUUGAUUCUACCAAAAAAAUUUUUAAUAUAUUGUAGUUUGUAGUUCUGCUUCUUCUGCAUAUGAAUUCACUUUCAUUUAUAUUUUUGGGGAUACAUGUUUGUAAUUGAGACA